ACUUCCUACGGGAGGCAGCAGUGGGGAAUAUUGCACAAUGGGGGAAACCCUGAUGCAAGCCAUGCCGCGUGUGUGAAGAAGGCCUUCGGGUUUGUAAAGCACUUUCAGUAGGGAGGAAGGUAGUGUAGUUAACACCUGCAUUAUUUGACGUUACCUACAGAAGAAGCACCGGCUAACUCCGUGCCAGCAGCCGCGGUAAUACGG
rnacentral:rRNA from 1 species